GGGCGCGUAGCUCAAUCGGAUAGAGCACCGGCCUUCUAAGCCGGGGGUUGCUGGUUCAAGUCCAGCCGCGCCUACCA
rnacentral:tRNA from 1 species